GCUGUGGCCUCUCCUAGUGAGGGGACACGACUCCUGCAGAAGUCCUGGCUCACCGUCCAGUCUGCAUGCAGGGCCAGGCCAGGUGUGCCCAUGUCCAGCUCCUUCCUGCCUGAGCCUUUACCUGCCAAGAGCCUGCAACAUGGGGUUCCCUUGUCCCUUGACUGUUCUCUCUCUUCCCUCCCAGAGAAGAUCUGCAUACUUCCUAACAGAGGCUUGGACCGCACCAAGGUUCCCAUUUUCCUGGGGAUCCAGGGAGGGAGCCGCUGCCUGGCAUGUGUGGACACAGAAGAGGGGCCUUCCCUACAGCUGGAGGAUGUGAACAUUGAGGAACUGUACAAAGGUGGUGAAGAGGCCACACGCUUCACCUUCUUCCAGAGCAGCUCAGGCUCCGCCUUCAGGCUUGAGGCUGCUGCCCGGCCUGGCUGGUUCCUGUGUGGCCCGGCAGAGCCCCAGCAGCCAGUACAGCUCACCAAGGAGAGUGAGCCCUCAGCCCGUACCAAGUUUUACUUUGAACAGAGCUGGUAGGGAGACAGGAAGCUGCGUUUUAGCCUUGUGCCCCCAAACCAAGCUCAUCCUGCUCAGGGUCUAUGGUAGGCAGAAUAAUGUCCCCUGAAAUAUGUCCACAUCCUAAUCCCAAGAUCUGUGCAUAUGUUACCAUACAUGUCCAAAGAGGAAAUGUGAUUAUGUUAAGGAUCUUGAGAUGAGGAGACAAUCCUGGGUUAUCCUUGUGGGCUCAGUUUAAUCACAAGAAGGAGGCAGGAAGGGAGAGUCAGAGAGAGAAUGGAAGAUACCAUGCUUCUAAUUUUGAAGAUGGAGUCAGGGGCCUUGAGCCAACAAAUGCAGGGGUUUUUAGAAGGUGGAAAAGCCAAGGGAACGGAUUCUCCUCUAGAGUCU
rnacentral:sRNA from 1 species